rnacentral:lncRNA from 1 species
UUUCUCUAAAAAAGAAAGUGUAAAUUAGGUGCAAUGCUCAGCAUUUGCUUACCUUACCUUUUAUUAAUAUGACCAUUAUUGAUCAAAUUAUAGUUUUAACUAAAGAGUCAGUUCUUAAAACUUACAUCACCUUAUGUUUCAGUUUUGGGAAAUGUGUAUUGUCUAGUACAGAAUGUUUUAAUGAUUAUUUAAGAAAAUUGAUUCCUGAGAGAUUUGACAUUUUUGAUAUAUUAUUUGAUUUUCAUUGCUUCUUAAGCCACAGCAAUAGCAGAUCCAGGCUGCAUCUGUGACAUACAUCACAGCUCACGGCAACGCUGGGUCCUUAACCCACUGAGUGAAGUCAGGGAUUGAACCCGAACCCUCAUGGAUGCUAGUCAGAUUUGUUUCCACUGACCUACGACAGGAACUCCUACUUUUUAUUUUAAAUGAUCUUUUAGGUAUAAUAUAUAUUUCCUCAUACUCACAUUUAAAUGAAUCACCCAGUUACUGGACCAAAGUGCCCUCAUCUACUCUGGUUAUGGACCCCCAACAUCCUUAGAAUGUGCUUUUGUUUUAGAGAAUUGGGGAAUCAAAGGGUACCUCUGCUAAUUUCAGCUCUGAUGGGAGGUUGCCUUGUUUACCAAAAAUUCUUGCUGUUUCAUAGCCUUUUCACCCAAGUUCAAAUUCAGGCAAUAAUUGUUGAGCAUCAUUCAUUUGAACACUCUUAGGGGUUUAAGUUGGCUUCGAGUUACAGUUACUGACUGUUGUGAAGGAACUUUAAUCUUAUUGCCAGGCUUGAUGAACAUUGUUAAGAAAUAUUACGGAGUGUUGGGGGAAAGGGGGUAAGGUAUAAGUCACUUCCACGUGGACAGAGCUCAGAAUAUGCUAACUUUGGUUAAUAUUUUGAAACAUUCCUUUUCUAAUCCCCUGAAUGUUGACUUGAAAACCGUUGGCUUGAAAGAUAGUUCUUUUAAGAGAAAGUGUGGACGUUAUAAAACUUAAAAAAAAAAUUGAGUACUCAUUCAUGACCAUUAGGAUUUUUUUUAACCCAUGAUAUAAGCAAGAAGGAUGAAAAUGUUUACUUCCAGAUCUGUUUCUUUUGUUUCACUGUUCGUUCUCCUGGGUCUCUUCAAGGUUCAUUCUCCCCUAUACAUUCUCACAGUGUUGAUUUCAAAAACCAGAGAGAAGAAAAGGUAGGGGCAGAUUUAAGGGGAUAUGGGAAGAAAGAAAUAGGCAGGGGUCAGAUUUAAGGGAAUAUGGGAGUAGAGGGGCUGGUUGGGAAGGAAAGCUGGAUAAGCCAGGCCAAGAGUAUUAAUCCAAUGUUUACACAGUAAGGAGAGUGAUUUCUUUAUGAGGUUAGUAAAUUUUCUAUGAUGUUUAUUUCUGAAAAGAAAGUUCUGAAAUUCUAAGUGGCAGCAUAGGUUAAGUAAGUAUUAAAUUUUUCAAGGAGACAGUUUGGAAGAAAGCAUAGUUUUGGUUUAAGUGUUGACAUGCUUAUUUAGAAAAGAAUUAGUCUUGCUGCAGAUCAUAUUAAAUGGUUUAAAAUAGCUGAUGAGUGGAACAGCUGUUGGUUGCAAUUCAUGAUUCCAUAAUGAAAUAUAGAACUCUUGGUCCAAUUUUUAGGAUCAAGCUGAGUUUUCUUUCUAUGCCUUAGAUUCUAGCCACCAUUUAAGUCAAACACUUUGGGACUUAUUGAAGUCUCAGAAGUAACAAUGUAGAAGGAUCAGAGGGUGAUUAUUUUAGUAAAAACAAAAGGUUUAUGCAUUUAAAGUCAGUAUUGUACAUGCUAUAAUAUCUGAAACAAAAUGGAAGCUUAUAGUGUUCAUUAGAUGGCAACUCAAAAAAAACCCCAGACUUUACUGCUUCUGAGAUAGUAAUUAUACAGUAGUCUGGCUUGAAGGAAAAUGAAAAGGAAAAUAAACUAGCCAAAUAGUCUCAGGUCAGAUUCAUUUACCUUUAAGAUUUUCUUUCCAUAGAUAGGUCAUGGAAACAGACUGGUAGGGACACUACUUGUAGCUAUAUUUUCAGAACGUUGUGGUUAUAUUAUUAUGUGAAUUAUGUAAUCCUUCUUUGAAGAUACUUUCCUUUUACCCAGGUAAUAAUAGGCUCAAGUGUCUUUAUCAUUAAGUGUUUCCAAAGGAUACUGAAAACAUUUGUUGCAAAGCAAAUCAGACUUUGAGCUUGGCCAGCUAUGUAUGUAGAGCUAUGGUGUAAAUAAUCGGUUGAAAUAAACUCAAAAAAUUAAGCUUAAAUUUUUUUUUAAAGGUAUGGUUUUGGCUGGAGCCCUCAGUAAAAUGGAAAGGUCAGAAUGAAAUUGUCAGAAUGUAUAAUACAUACCCAAAUAACAAGUUCAAAUAACAUUAGGAAACUUUCGUAUUCAUAGAAUGUCUUAUGUCUUUAAGAGUUUCACUAUGGAUUUUGUUGUUUGUAAUACUUCAUCCUUUGAUUCUCUUAAAUCCUAUCUUGUAAUAUUUUUAAAUUGCUAAAAAAUUAAUGGGAAUUUAAAAAAAAAAUCACUUUAUAGACAGUUUCCAGAAAGAGAUUUUAUUUCCGAAAGCAAGGUAUAUAUAAUCAAAACUGGGAAAUACCUCAGUUUCAUACUUUUCAAAUUUAUGGUACUGUGUAUUAUUUCACACAUAUUCUUAACAAGUGUUUACCUCAAACUGUUCCUUUUUUAAGUAGUCAAGUAUUUUAAAUCCUCAAGUAUUCAUAGACUACUUACUGUCCAGUGUUCUAAACAUAAUCACCUUUACAAUAGUAAAUAAAUCAUUCAGUUAUUGAAAGAAUAGUUGCUUUUACUGCCAAGCUUAUCAUGUGUUUUUUCCCUACCUGUUAUUGUUUGUUUGUUUUGGUCUUUUUAGGGCCACACCCAAGGCUUAUGGAAGUUCCUAGGCUAGGGGUCUAAUCGGAGCUGCAUCUGCUGUCCUGUGCCAUAGCCACAGCAAUGCCAGAUCCGAGCUGUGUCUGAGGCUUAUACCACAGCUCAAGGCAAUGCCGGAUCCUUUAAACCCACUGAGUCAGGCCAGGGAUCAGCACAUUCUCAUGGAUCCUAGUUGGGUUCUUAACCUACUGAGCUGCAAUGGGAACUUCCCUACCCAUGUUUUUAAAGUGAUCAUUUAUUGAAAUUGCUUAAGUGCAUUUUUUUUUUUUUGGUCUUUUUACCAUUUCUUGGGCUGCUCCCAUGGCAUAUGGAGGUUCCCAGUCUAGGGGUUGAAUUGGAGCUGUAGCCACCGGCCUACACCACAGCCACAGCAACUCGGGUUCCGAGCCACAUCUGCAACCUAUACCACAGCUCAUGGCAACACCAGAUCCGUAACCCACUGAGCAAGGCCAGGGAUCGAACCUAGUCAGAUUCGUUAACCACUGAGCCAUGACGGGAACUCCUUAAGUGCAUUUAUAAUACCAGUUAUAUUUAUUUUACUUCUUCAAUAAUUAUUUUGUUAUGUCUCCUAUUUGUGCCUUUCUACAAGAAAAGGAAUCUUUUCACAUUACUUUUUUUUUUUUUUAAAGUUUUUCAUGGUCGUGUGAGAAUUGCAAAGCAUGGAAACAUCUAAACUUCAGGGUUGCAUUAUUUUAUUUAGAGUUUUGGCUUAACGUGUGAAGUCAGAGUUGUAAACAUUACUCGCAGUGUUUCUUAUGUGGUUACUGUGAGUUAGCUGGUGGACUAAUAAAAUUGUCUCAGUAGGGCAAAAAUUGUAACCAAACCUAAUACUGGGUUAUGAUGGCAGGCAGAUUAGAAUUUCUCAGAAUAGUAAUUCCCAGCCAUUUUCUGGUUUUCUUAUCAAGUUUCUUAUCAAGGUUUUCUUAGAAUGAAAAGCUGCAAAACUAUGUAAUAUUAAGUAUGUUUUAAGGUAGCAUGUUCUUUAAAAACGUAAAAAUUCCAAUCUCAGUAAACAGUUAGUCAAUAAAUAUUUAAUUGGGUAUCUUCUAUGUUUCUAGAUUUAUGUUGGGACCUUCAAAGGUAUUAAAUUAUGGUUUUUGCUCUUAAGGAAAUUUAUGGUUCCUUUUGAGAAGCCAAAUUUAUAGCUAUGAAAGAAUUUAAAUUUAGGAGUUUUAGAAUAACUGAUGUGAGGCUCAUGAAAAUGGUAGCAAUGAAAGGUAAGGAUUUGAAGCUGUUGCUUGUGUGGUUUUGACUUGAGCUUAAAUAUUAAAGGAAAUGAUGUAAGAUUAAAUUUCUUUUCUUUUCUCUUCUCUUUUCUUUUGUCUUUUUAGGGCUGCACCUGCAGUGUAUGGAAGUUCCCAGACUAGGGGUCAAGUGGGAGCUGUAGCGGCCGGCCUACGCCACGGCCACAGCACCACCAGAUCUGAGCCACAUCUGCGACUACACCAUAGCUCACUGCAAUGCUGGAUACUUGACCCGCUGAGCGAGGCCAGGGAUCAAACCGGUAACCUCAUGGUUCCUAAUUGGAUUCAUUUACCUGCUAUUGCCACGAUGGGAACUCUCUGUUCUGUUUAUUUUAGAUAACAGCAUAUUGAGUUAUUUCCCUAGGACUACUUCAUAAAUGUUAGGCUAGUCCUAGAAUUUUAGGUGUCUAAGAAAAUAAUCUUUGGUUAAAAUUAUUUUGUAAGAAUGUUUUAUAAAAAAGGAUAUCCAUCUCAAAGUAAUGUAAUGUUAUUUAAGUUUUUAUCUCUCACUUUUGUAUAUGUGUAUUCUUCUCUACCUUUGCUCAUGCUGUAUCCUCUGCUCAUCAUGCCUUUCUCUGACAGUUUGGGCUUAACACCCUCUCAGCCCCCACAUCUUACUCCACAUUCCUAUGCAACCAGAUCACUUGUCGUCUCAGUCUGCGAACAUGACUUCCAAUUUCAGUCAUCUUCUGUUUGCCUGUAAGAUUUUGUUUGCCUUGCCAAUCAUGUUUGGUUAUUCACUCAUGUGAUUCUCCUGUCAUAUUUGUGCUUUUCUUGAGGAUAGAUAUUAUUUAUGUUAUUUUGGCUGCCUGACAUAAAAUGCUGGGCACAUAGUGUAGUUGUUGGAUAAAUUAUUGAAUUAAUGGUUGCUUUUUGACAUUUGUAGGUUAAUUUAUGUGGUCAUCACUUUCAUAGAUUUAUCAAGGUUUAGAACUGUAAGUCUUUGUCUUUCCAUAUUUUCAGUAAGAAAUUUAGGGCUAAUGGUGAUUCAUUUAAAAAUGAGCUUAUGGAGUCCCCAUCUUGGUGUAUCGGAAAUGAAUCCAACUAGCAACUAUGAGGUUGCAGGUUCGAUUCCUGGCUUCAAUCAGUGGGUUAAGGAUCUGGUGUUGCUGUGAGCUGUGGUGUAGGUUGCAGAUACGGCUCGGAUCUGGCGGUGCUGUGGCUUUGGCGUAAGCUGGCAACUGUAGCUUAAAUUAGACCCCUAGCCUGGGAACCUCCAUAUGCUGCAGGUAUGGCCCUAAAAAGCAAAAAAAAAAAAAAAAAAAAAAA